GACGAACGCUGGCGGCGUGCUUAACACAUGCAAGUCGAACGACGAACUGGCAGCUUGCUGCUGGGGAUUAGUGGCGAACGGGUGAGUAACACGUGAGUAACCUGCCCUGGACUCUGGGAUAACCCCGAGAAAUCGGAGCUAAUACCGGAUAGGACCCUGUACCGCAUGGUGUGGGGUGGAAAGUUUUUUCGGUCCGGGAUGGACUCGCGGCCUAUCAGCUCGUUGGUGAGGUAAUGGCUCACCAAGGCGUCGACGGGUAGCCGGCCUGAGAGGGUGACCGGCCACACUGGGACUGAGACACGGCCCAGACUCCUACGGGAGGCAGCAGUGGGGAAUAUUGCACAAUGGGCGCAAGCCUGAUGCAGCAACGCCGCGUGCGGGAUGACGGCCUUCGGGUUGUAAACCGCUUUUAGUAAGGAAGAAGGUGAGUCUGACUCCUUGACGGUACUUGCAGAAAAAGGACCGGCUAACUACGUGCCAGCCGCCGCAGUAAGAC
rnacentral:rRNA from 1 species